rnacentral:tRNA from 1 species
CGGGACGGUGGUCCGGUGAGCCAGGCGGUCGGCCCGCGCCGCCGGUCGAUGGUCCGGCGGGCCGUCGGCACGCGUUCGAUGGUGUGGCGCGCCGAC